ensembl:snRNA U6 U6 spliceosomal RNA
GUGCUUGCUUCGGCAGCACAUAUACUAAAAUUGUGAACGAUACAGAGAAGAUUAGCAUGGCCCCUGCACAAGGAUGACUUGCAAAUUCAUGAAGAACACAGUCCAAGAAAUCUUU